GGUGGUGUAGCUUAGUGGUUAGAGCAUCUGCUUUGCAUGCAGAGGGUCCCAGGUUCAAUCCCUGGUUGCAUCU